rnacentral:rRNA from 1 species
GAACUGAAGAGUUUGAUCCUGGCUCAGAUUGAACGCUGGCGGCAUGCCUAACACAUGCAAGUCGAACGGUAACAGGACGCUGUGAUCCCUUCGGGGUGAACUUGUCGCUGACGAGUGGCGGACGGGUGAGUAAUGCUUGGGAAUCUGCCCAGUAGUGGGGGACAACACGAGGAAACUCGUGCUAAUACCGCAUACGUCCUACGGGAGAAAGUGGGGGAUCUUCGGACCUCACGCUAUUGGAUGAGCCCAAGUCGGAUUAGCUUGUUGGUGGGGUAAAGGCCUACCAAGGCGACGAUCCGUAGCUGGUCUGAGAGGACGAUCAGCCACACUGGGACUGAGACACGGCCCAGACUCCUACGGGAGGCAGCAGUGGGGAAUAUUGGACAAUGGGGGCAACCCUGAUCCAGCAAUGCCGCGUGUGUGAAGAAGGCCUGCGGGU